rnacentral:rRNA from 1 species
GGUUAAGCGACUAAGCGUACACGGUGGAUGCCCUGGCAGUCAGAGGCGAUGAAGGACGUGCUAAUCUGCGAAAAGCGUCGGUAAGGUGAUAUGAACCGUUAUAACCGGCGAUGUCCGAAUGGGGAAACCCAGUGUGAUUCGUCACACUAUCGUUAACUGAAUACAUAGGUUAACGAGGCGAACCGGGGGAACUGAAACAUCUAAGUACCCCGAGGAAAAGAAAUCAACCGAGAUUCCCCCAGUAGCGGCGAGCGAACGGGGAGCAGCCCAGAGUCUGAAUCAGCUUGUGUGUUAGUGGAACGGUCUGGAAAGUCCGACGGUACAGGGUGAUAGUCCCGUACACCAAAAUGCACAGGUUGUGAACUCGAAGAGUAGGGCGGGACACGUGGUAUCCUGUCUGAAUAUGGGGGGACCAUCCUCCAAGGCUAAAUACUCCUGACUGACCGAUAGUGAACCAGUACCGUGAGGGAAAGGCGAAAAGAACCCCGGCGAGGGGAGUGAAAAAGAACCUGAAACCGUGUACGUACAAGCAGUGGGAGCACCUUCGGGUGUGACUGCGUACCUUUUGUAUAAUGGGUCAGCGACUUAUAUUCUGUAGCAAGGUUAACCGUAUAGGGGAGCCGCAGGGAAACCGAGUCUUAACUGGGCGUUAAGUUGCAGGGUAUAGACCCGAAACCCGGUGAUCUAGCCAUGGGCAGGUUGAAGGUUGGGUAACACUAACUGGAGGACCGAACCGACUAAUGUUGAAAAAUUAGCGGAUGACUUGUGGCUGGGGGUGAAAGGCCAAUCAAACCGGGAGAUAGCUGGUUCUCCCCGAAAGCUAUUUAGGUAGCGCCUCGUGAAUUCAUCUUCGGGGGUAGAGCACUGUUUCGGCUAGGGGGUCAUCCCGACUUACCAACCCGAUGCAAACUACGAAUACCGAAGAAUGUUAUCACGGGAGACACACGGCGGGUGCUAACGUCCGUCGUGAAGAGGGAAACAACCCAGACCGCCAGCUAAGGUCCCAAAGUCAUGGUUAAGUGGGAAACGAUGUGGGAAGGCACAGACAGCCAGGAUGUUGGCUUAGAAGCAGCCAUCAUUUAAAGAAAGCGUAAUAGCUCACUGGUCGAGUCGGCCUGCGCGGAAGAUGUAACGGGGCUAAACCAUGCACCGAAGCUGCGGCAGCGACACUAUGUGUUGUUGGGUAGGGGAGCGUUCUGUAAGCCUGCGAAGGUGUGCUGUGAGGCAUGCUGGAGGUAUCAGAAGUGCGAAUGCUGACAUAAGUAACGAUAAAGCGGGUGAAAAGCCCGCUCGCCGGAAGACCAAGGGUUCCUGUCCAACGUUAAUCGGGGCAGGGUGAGUCGACCCCUAAGGCGAGGCCGAAAGGCGUAGUCGAUGGGAAACAGGUUAAUAUUCCUGUACUUGGUGUUACUGCGAAGGGGGACGGAGAAGGCUAUGUUAGCCGGGCGACGGUUGUCCCGGUUUAAGCAUGUAGGCUGGUUAUCCAGGCAAAUCCGGAUAAUCAAGGCUGAGGUGUGAUGACGAGGCACUACGGUGCUGAAGUAACAAAUGCCCUGCUUCCAGGAAAAGCCUCUAAGCAUCAGGUAACAUCAAAUCGUACCCCAAACCGACACAGGUGGUCAGGUAGAGAAUACCAAGGCGCUUGAGAGAACUCGGGUGAAGGAACUAGGCAAAAUGGUGCCGUAACUUCGGGAGAAGGCACGCUGGUGUGUAGGUGAAGUCCCUGCGGAUGGAGCUGAGACCAGUCGAAGAUACCAGCUGGCUGCAACUGUUUAUUAAAAACACAGCACUGUGCAAACACGAAAGUGGACGUAUACGGUGUGACGCCUGCCCGGUGCCGGAAGGUUAAUUGAUGGGGUUAUCCGUAAGGAGAAGCUCUUGAUCGAAGCCCCGGUAAACGGCGGCCGUAACUAUAACGGUCCUAAGGUAGCGAAAUUCCUUGUCGGGUAAGUUCCGACCUGCACGAAUGGCGUAAUGAUGGCCAGGCUGUCUCCACCCGAGACUCAGUGAAAUUGAACUCGCUGUGAAGAUGCAGUGUACCCGCGGCAAGACGGAAAGACCCCGUGAACCUUUACUAUAGCUUGACACUGAACAUUGAGCCUUGAUGUGUAGGAUAGGUGGGAGGCUUUGAAGCGUGGACGCCAGUCUGCGUGGAGCCAACCUUGAAAUACCACCCUUUAAUGUUUGAUGUUCUAACGUUGGCCCCUUACCGGGGUUGCGGACAGUGUCUGGUGGGUAGUUUGACUGGGGCGGUCUCCUCCCAAAGCGUAACGGAGGAGCACGAAGGUUAGCUAAUCCUGGUCGGACAUCAGGAGGUUAGUGCAAUGGCAUAAGCUAGCUUGACUGCGAGCGUGACGGCGCGAGCAGGUGCGAAAGCAGGUCAUAGUGAUCCGGUGGUUCUGAAUGGAAGGGCCAUCGCUCAACGGAUAAAAGGUACUCCGGGGAUAACAGGCUGAUACCGCCCAAGAGUUCAUAUCGACGGCGGUGUUUGGCACCUCGAUGUCGGCUCAUCACAUCCUGGGGCUGAAGUAGGUCCCAAGGGUAUGGCUGUUCGCCAUUUAAAGUGGUACGCGAGCUGGGUUUAGAACGUCGUGAGACAGUUCGGUCCCUAUCUGCCGUGGGCGCUGGAGAAUUGAGGGGGCUGCUCCUAGUACGAGAGGACCGGAGUGGACGCAUCACUGGUGUUCGGGUUGUCAUGCCAAUGGCACUGCCCGGUAGCUAAAUGCGGAAGAGAUAAGUGCUGAAAGCAUCUAAGCACGAAACUUGCCCCGAGAUGAGUUCUCCCUGAGACUUUAAGUCUCCUGAAGGAACGUUGAAGACGACGACGUUGAUAGGCCGGGUGUGUAAGCGCAGCGAUGCGUUGAGCUAACCGGUACUAAUGAACCGUGAGGCUUAACCUU